rnacentral:sRNA from 1 species
AUGGACCACUUGUACAGCCCGAUUCUGAGCGCGCCAUCCACACCUACCUGACGACUGCUCGCUACCGUUGGUAGCC